UACGAAGGGGGCUAGCGUUGUUCGGAAUCACUGGGCGUAAAGGGCGCGUAGGCGGCUCUUUAAGUCGGGGGUGAAAUCCUGGAGCUCAACUCCAGAACUGCCUUCGAUACUGUAGAGCUUGAGUUCGGGAGAGGUGAGUGGAACUGCGAGUGUAGAGGUGAAAUUCGUAGAUAUUCGCAAGAACACCAGUGGCGAAGGCGGCUCACUGGCCCGAUACUGACGCUGAGGUGCGAAAGCGUGGGGAGCAAACAGG
rnacentral:rRNA from 1 species